rnacentral:tRNA from 1 species
CACAUAGUAGCUUAAGAUAAAGCAUUAAACUUUUAAUUUAAAUAUAAGAGAUAUUCUUUUAUGUGA